rnacentral:rRNA from 1 species
GUGAGGAAUAUUGCGCAAUGGAGGCAACUCUGACGCAGCCAUGCCGCGUGCAGGAAGAAGGCGCUACGCGUUGUAAACUGCUUUUAACCGGGAAGAAACCCCAGGACGUGUCCUGGGUUGACGGUACCGGAGGAAUAAGCACCGGCUAACUUCGUGCCAGCAGCCGCGGUAAUACGAAGGGUGCAAGCGUUAUCCGGAUUCAUUGGGUUUAAAGGGUGCGUAGGCGGAGCGUUAAGUCAGUGGUGAAAUCCUGCAGCUUAACUGUAGACUUGCCAUUGAUACUGGGGCUCUUGAGUGCGCUUGAAGUGGGCGGAAUGUGCCGUGUAGCGGUGAAAUGCUUAGAUAUGGCACAGAACACCAAUUGCGAAGGCAGCUCACUAAGGCGAUACUGACGCUGAGGCACGAAAGCGUGGGGAUCGAACAGGAUUAGAAACCCGGGUAGUCC